rnacentral:tRNA from 1 species
GCACGGAUGGCCGAGUGGUCUAAGGCGCCAGACUCAAGCAUCAUAUGCUUCGCACGAGUUCGCAGUGCGUCAUCGAUUGGGCGUUCUGGUAUCGUUAUCGAUGCGUGGGUUCGAAUCCCACUCCGUGCA